CUCCUACGGGACGCAGCAGUGGGGAAUAUUGCACAAUGGGGGAAACCCUGAUGCAGCGACGCCGCGUGAGUGAAGAAGUAUUUCGGUACGUAAAGCUCUAUCAGCAGGGAAGAAAAAAAGUCCUUUGGACUUUGGACGGUACCUGACUAAGAAGCACCGGCUAACUCCGUGCCAGCAGCCGCGGUAAUACGGAGGGUGCGAGCGUUAAUCGGAAUUACUGGGCGUAAAGCGCUCGUAGGCGGUAUGUCAAGUCAAGGGUGAAAUCCCCGCGCUCAACGUGGGAACUGCCUUUGAAACUGGCAAAC
rnacentral:rRNA from 1 species